rnacentral:rRNA from 1 species
GACGAACGCUGGCGGCGUGCUUAACACAUGCAAGUCGAACGAAGAGCGAUGGAAGCUUGCUUCUAUCAAUCUUAGUGGCGCACGGGUGAGUAACGCGUAAUCAACCUGCCCUUCAGAGGGGGACAACAGUUGGAAACGACUGCUAAUACCGCAUACGAUCUAAUCUCGGCAUCGAGGAUGGAUGAAAGGUGGCCUCUACAUGUAAGCUAUCACUGAAGGAGGGGAUUGCGUCUGAUUAGCUAGUUGGAGGGGUAACGGCCCACCAAGGCGAUGAUCAGUAGCCGGUCUGAGAGGAUGAACGGCCACAUUGGGACUGAGACACGGCCCAGACUCCUACGGGAGGCAGCAGUGGGGAAUCUUCCGCAAUAGACGAAAGUCUGACGGAGCAACGCCGCGUGAGUGAUGACGGCCUUCGGGUUGUAAAGCUCUGUUAAUCGGGACGAAAGGCCUUCUUGCGAAUAGUGAGAAGGAUUGACGGUACCGGAAUAGAAAGCCACGGCUAACUACGUG